UGCCGAGGUUUUGAGUCCGAGAGACAGACCCCCUGGACACUUUGUAUACAGUUGUGACACAGACACUCAAGAUGAAGCUCGCUGCCGUGUUUCUUGUCAGUGCUCUAAUUCUGGCAACACUGGGUGGUUCAAACGCCUUCUGCCAGGAGCAGUGUUACGACAGCCAACAUGGCAGCUCUCAAUGCCGGGGUGAACACACGUGUAUGUGUCAUAACGGUAUAGCUAUGUGUGACGGUGUCAUGGCCAGUCCCAUCCCGCCCCAUCACUGAGACCACCACACCUUAUGGGGCAAGUUGUCACGCGAAUCAUCAUGGCUGCAUGUAAACCGA